UACGUAGGUCCCGAGCGUUGUCCGGAUUUAUUGGGCGUAAAGCGAGCGCAGGUGGUUUAUUAAGUCUGGUGUAAAAGGCAGUGGCUCAACCAUUGUAUGCAUUGGAAACUGGUAGACUUGAGUGCAGGAGAGGAGAGUGGAAUUCCAUGUUUAGCGGUGAAAUGCGUAGAUAUAUGGAGGAACACCGGUGGCGAAAGCGGCUCUCUGGCCUGUAACUGACACUGAGGCUCGAAAGCGUGGGGAGCAAACAGG
rnacentral:rRNA from 1 species